CGCGUGACGUCACCGCGCGCGCGCACAGGCACGGCGGCGGCGGCGGCCGCACCCCUCCCCCAGGAAGGGAGGAAAUGGCGGGAGAGCGGUAGCAGUCCGUCUAACAAGUGCUGUUCAAAGAAGGAGGGGGGCAUGAAAAACUGUGUGCUUUGCCGUGAUUCAGACAUCUACUGAGCUGCAAAACUGCGGAGGCCGCUGGGAGCCACGGGAGUUUUCACCGUCCCUGAAAGCACCGGCUCCCCUGGCUGUUUGCCCAGAGAAACGUGCAGCGUAGUGCUUGAGAGCGGAAAAGCUGCUCCGCAGAUGUAGAGCGCUCCUCUUCAUGCGUGAGGGGGUAAAAGAUGCUGCCAUCUGCCCAAAGUGAGCCCUUUUUUGCUGUUUUUGAAGUGAGAAUCAGAGCAUGUUACAGGCUUUACUAACAGAGGAAAUUCACAUUUCUAAUUGUGCUACGUGAUGAGCCUUGCAGAGGGAUUGUUUCCACAGCAGCGUGUUCCUGUAACCAUAUGGCAAUGUUUGGAGAGAAAAAAAAAACUGAAUUAAGAAGACACAUAUGUAUGAAGCAGCUGAUAACAUGGACUUCUGAUUGGAUUAGAUUUUGGCUGAAGUCUCCCCCUUCCCUGUUUUAAGUUUCUUGUCCUGGGAAGAAACGUUCUGGGGAAUAGUAGCAUGUUCUGCCUGGCUUUAAGGAAAUGGUUUUGUUAUCGUGGCCUAACAGAGAUUAGGGCUCUCUGUGACGGGUAGAAGGUAUUGAUUGUCUUCUGCCCCAGAUGUCCUUCCUCUCCCGCUGUGAGCUUUCCUCGUCCUUCCCUGGAGGCUCCCAAGUUUGGACUUCGCCAGCUUGGAGGAGAGGCAGGCUUCUGUUUCUGUGCACUGGGAGUGUCUGCUGCUCUUCUUCAAACCCCUUCUCAAUAACUUUUUUUUUUUUAAUGUCCUUGAACUGUUAUUACUUAGACUUAAAGUCUUCAGGGCAAGCAUAUUACCUUUCUGUAUAUAUUUACAAAGAGCCAUCAACAUUUACAGAAGAUGUGAAGUAGUUUACCUGUCUCAGGCAUGGUAUUUUCUUACAGAAAACUAGACUUACUAGGUUGAGUUUUCUUCUGCUUCUUUAUUGUCCUUGCAAGGGCAAGUAAGUAAGUGAGUGUUAUGCUUGCACAUGUAAAUUUUCAUGACAGUUUUACAAGACUGCAUUUAUGGCAUUACCUAAGCAGUAAAUAAUCAUUCUCUCAACAGAAAAAGACAGCUAUUACCGUAUAUUGUAAUGUGCUAGUGCUGAUUUGCUUCUGGAUAUUCACUGUGCAUAAGCAACAGCACAAGCAGGAGUAAUACACCUUUUUUCCAUACUCUCUUAGGCACCAAGGAUGAGUGAAUUCUUUUGAUGAUAGUUUUACUUUGCUUAUUUACAUAUUUUUACUUGUCAUUUCUGUUUCUUGUCCUUUGGAGCACUUGAAAGAUAAAUCUUUUUUUUUAACUAUUGGCACAUUAAACUGUUAUAUAACAUCCAUCACCUGCUUAGGGUAAUGUUUAAAAAGAAAAAAAAAAAAAAAAAAAAAGGAGAGAGGGACAAAUUUCUGCUUCAACCUUAUAUUGCACAGCCAUCAGCCUGCCCCAGCUGCUACUGUGCAGCCCCAGUUGUGGGUCCCACUGCAGCCCAUGGAGCACAGCAGCAAGCCAGAAAGCUGUCAGCAGUUGCAGCAAACGUGGUGGGUGAUCAUCCAGAGUAGGGGGGGAACACAGGCUUCUGCAUGAGAGAGGUUCAGCCUCUGCACUGCAAUUGCACAGGUGCAACUGCUGAGUGGUGCAGGAAGGGUAGGGUUGUGGCUUAGUCUGAAAGGGCCUCCAGCCCUGACUCCCCACAGGAGGUUGCCCUGUUUUCCCUGCAUUUGCUCCAUUCUCCAGCAAGUGGGCUGAACAAAGUGCCCUGCUCCUGCCCUGUAUUUUGUGGGGCUGGUUCUGCUUGGUUGGCCUCCACAGCAGCUUGGUUGUAGGGGAACUGCUCUCUGUGUGUGCUGGAGGGGAGAGACCUGACAGUCAGGGUUUCAUGUUUUAAGGAGUGUGGCCCAUGAGGGGUCCCUGCAGCCCCAGAAGAAAAGACUUGGGUGUCCUGAUCCUGGCAGGACUCCCCCAGGGACACGGAAAAUGGUAGGUUUGGGUUAUGCCUUGUAGAGCUAUCUCCUUUGCAUCCUGUGACAGAGAGCAGGAAUCCCACUGCUGUCCUGUAUGAAGAGCCAGAGGAGCGGGCAGGCACAGGAUCUCCCAAUUGCUUUGGACAGCCAGGAGACAAGGCUGCGUUGAACUGGAAGGAGGCAAGGCAAAGGACCGGUUGCUUCCCUGAGGGAAUUGGUGGGAAUGAUGGAUCACGCGAAGAGAGUAGCUCUUGAGGACAGAAUCUGACUUGCUUUGGUGGAUUUGAGGAAAAAAUGGUUAUCCUGGGAGACAGCAAAGGAAAAGAAAGACUGAGAAAAUAGGUGGCAGCCUGUGGACUUACAUAGGCAAGGAGAAAGGGCUACUGAGGAAAGAGUAAAUCUGGGUAUGCUCUGGGAUGCCAGAAGGACAAACUGCAGCAAGAACAGAGCAAAACUACACAGUGGCAUGAGAUUUACAGUCCAAGCAAGGGAAUAGUGCAGAGAAGGAAGAGCAAAGGGGAGAAGGAAGGAUUAUGACAUGGAAAAGGUGUUAGGGGACUUUCUUGUACAGAAUAGCCUGUUGAAUAGUGCGGCAGAUAGAUGCUUCACACAGCAGCUGUGGUGCACUGAAAUCAUGCUAAAGAUCCCAUUACUUGACAGUCCGUGCUGUUAGAUGACUAAAUGACUUUAAAAUUCAGUCUUUAGAAAUUGCUAAGAUAUAUAGGACCUUUUAUUUCUUAAUUUUACAUUAUCAUAAAUAUAUUUGAUUAAUUUAUAUCUUGAGAAACCUUUGGAAUAUCUAUGUGCUUCUGACAUUUAAAAAUUAUUAUUAACUUUUCAUUCUUCUAAAUGAUCCUGAGUCUCUGUUUGGAUUUGAUAAGCACAUCUGCAUGAUUUACAAUGGGAAGAAAGAUGAUUUCCCUCCUUAGUAGCUGUGCAGACGCAGAGGAAGUGCAUAAAUGCAGGAUUAAUGUUAAGAAAAAAUGAUAGCUAAGAUUCUGGGUUCAGAAGGAAAUGAUGAAGUGUCUGUAGUCCAUGUCCUUGCAUUAGCUUCAUUAAUUAUAGAAAGGCCACUAGAUCAGUCUUUAAUGCCAUGGUCGUGAAAGGAAACAUUGCUAGUCUGAAGCAACUAACAAGCCCCAUCUCUUGAUUUGUGCUGCUUCAUAUUGAAUGGAGAUGAAAUGUGGGGAUGAGGGAGGAGUGCUAUUAAAAUAGAUUUUUACCAGU